GGGGGUGUGGCUUAGUGGUAGAGCAUGUGCUUUGCAUGCACAAAGUUCCAUGUUCCAUUUCCCAGUAUAUCCA